AAAGGUACAGCUCACUGGCAGAGCACAUGCUUAGCAUGCAUGAAGUCCUGGGUUCAAUCCCCAGUACCUCCU
rnacentral:tRNA from 1 species